AGCCCGGUAGUGUAGCGGACAAUCAUGGCGGACUCUGGAUCCGCCGACACCGGUUCGAAUCCGGUCCGGGCUACCA
rnacentral:tRNA from 1 species